AGUGAACGCUGGCGGUAGGCCUAACACAUGCAAGUCGAACGGCAGCACAGUAAGAGCUUGCUCUUACGGGUGGCGAGUGGCGGACGGGUGAGGAAUACAUCGGAAUCUACUUUUUCGUGGGGGAUAACGUAGGGAAACUUACGCUAAUACCGCAUACGACCUACGGGUGAAAGCAGGGGAUCUUCGGACCUUGCGCGAUUGAAUGAGCCGAUGUCGGAUUAGCUAGUUGGCGGGGUAAAGGCCCACCAAGGCGACGAUCCGUAGCUGGUCUGAGAGGAUGAUCAGCCACACUGGAACUGAGACACGGUCCAGACUCCUACGGGAGGCAGCAGUGGGGAGUACUGGACAAUGGGCGCAAGCCUGAUCCAGCCAUACCGCGUGGGUGAAGAAGGCCUUCGGGUUGUAAAGCCCUUUUGUUGGGAAAGAAAAGCAGCAGGUAAUACCCCGCUGUUCUGACGGUACCCAAAGAAUAAGCACCGGCUAACUUCGUG
rnacentral:rRNA from 1 species